rnacentral:rRNA from 1 species
AUUGAACGCUGGCGGCAGGCCUAACACAUGCAAGUCGAGCGGCAGCGGAAAGUAGCUUGCUACUUUGCCGGCGAGCGGCGGACGGGUGAGUAAUGUCUGGGAAACUGCCUGAUGGAGGGGGAUAACUACUGGAAACGGUAGCUAAUACCGCAUAACGUCGCAAGACCAAAGAGGGGGACCUUCGGGCCUCUUGCCAUCAGAUGUGCCCAGAUGGGAUUAGCUAGUAGGUGGGGUAACGGCUCACCUAGGCGACGAUCCCUAGCUGGUCUGAGAGGAUGACCAGCCACACUGGAACUGAGACACGGUCCAGACUCCUACGGGAGGCAGCAGUGGGGAAUAUUGCACAAUGGGCGCAAGCCUGAUGCAGCCAUGCCGCGUGUAUGAAGAAGGCCUUCGGGUUGUAAAGUACUUUCAGCGGGGAGGAAGGUGUUGAGGCUAAUAACCUCAGCAAUUGACGUUACCCGCAGAAGAAGCACCGGCUAACUCCGUGCCAGCCGCCGCCGUAAAAC